rnacentral:lncRNA from 1 species
UAAUGUAAGAAAAUGGUUUUAUUCCUAAUUUUUAGUUCCAUACAGUUUACAAAUACACUUUUACUCUGAUAAUAUGGCUUUGCAACUAGCAAAGCAGUUGAACUAACACCCAUAAAUACAGGUGGCAAAACAAUUAACAUCCCCUAAUGUUUCUCUACAUGAACUAUCCUUUUAAUGUCAUUUUCUAAAAAACAACUGCAAAUAGACUACAUAAUAUAUGUGGGCAAAAGGCAAUUAAGUGAAUCUCUUGAAACACUACAUGUAUAAUAAACAGCAUAUUAUCAACAUUUACAUGAUUCACAUCAAAAUGAUGACAUCCUAAAACGUAUUCCUUUUAAAGGAUAGAUUUAUCAAUAAAAUAUUACAUAUCUUUUAAUACUCUGGUACAAUACUUCAUACACUGCAGGAAAAUUAAAUGUAGGUGUAGUCAUCAGCUUAAUAAAGGGUCCUUUUCCAUUAGCUUUUAUUAAUGAAAGAAUUACAAUUAGGUCAUAAAUAAACAGGCAAAUUAUUAAUUACAUGAUUUGAGGUUUAGGAUGAAAACUUGUAAAAAUUAGUUUGAUAUACAGUAAAGUUAUACAACACACUAAAACCAACAGUUUGAUAUUUUUGCCUUGUGUGAACUGCCCAUAGUGAACAAAGGAAUAAACUUUUUAGUGAUGGAAGAUACAAUAACUAUGUUUGGGAACUUAUUUUUCAAGAGGAAGAAGGAAAAAGAUUUCAACAAAAUUAAGGGCUAACAGAUCCUAAGAAAGACCUCUUCAAAUCAGGGUGGCUCAUGUGCUUGCUAUCUCAAACUUUAUUCCCCUGCCAACAUACAGAAGACAGGACCUGCAGUGGGCUUGCAUUUAUUUCUACAGUCUAAGCAUCUCUGGACGAUGAUUAAUCUACAACAAAACACUUCACAGCUGCAUCCCUUUCCAUAUUCCCCUGACCUAGAACAACCCCAGAUGUAUUAGCUCUUAAAAUCCCCAGUAAAAUAACCCCUAAAAAUAAUCUCGACCAUUUGCUUGGCUGUUAUAAAGCAGCUAGGCUCUGUAAAGAAUGCAAGGAUAUCAAGAGAAGUCCUACACAGUUUCCCACCCCAUUUCGCCAUGUUGGAAAAGUCAUUAAUUUCAAUGAGGCCCACAAACUGGAUAUGAGGGGCCUUUUAAAAACAACAACAAAAAAGCUAGUAAGACUCUUGAAAUCUGGCUUUAAAAAAACACCUCAAUGCCACAUGCCAGAUAAUUUCUUCACCCCAGAUAUAAAAAUCCUAGGCUUUUAAUUAUAAAAUAGUCAGCCAGCUAUGGGAUAUUAUCCAUAUUUAAUAUCCACCAACAACCCAGAGUAGAUUCCACAUGGGCACCAAGUACACCUGUUUUCCAGGUAACCUGAUUCACCUCCUACUGACUACUCAGGCCCUGGGCCCUUUGACAUCCUCAUGAACCAUCUCUUUGGAACUUUCAUUUUCGUUCUUGAUUCGACCCCACAUCUUGAGCUAUCCCCAUCUUCCCAGCCCCACUGUCUGAUUCUCCCACAUGUAGAGCGACCACACCUGAAAACCCACCACCACCUUUACCACAAGACAGACCCAGCGACCUGGACACUAUUGUGAAUCUGGUCCUGGCAUCAGUUUAUAUAACAACAGGAUGGUUUGCUGACCCUGUGGAGGGAAACCAAAGUGAAAUCAAUGUGCUGCAACAAAGCUUGCCAAGAUCAGGUAUUUCCAUUCUGAGUGCAAAAAUCACUGAUCACCGGCUCCAGGCAUAUUUGUUUGUACAAUCAAACCCUGUAUGCUGGUGAAAGACUUUGCCCCUGAAGUCCAGAGUCAAAGCAUUACCACAAAAUCAAAAAUGAUUCAAUGUGACAAUGCAGUAAAAAGAACAGGAUGCAGGAUCCUGGCUGCAAACACUGAACUGGAAUCUCUUUUUUUGUAGGCUUGACAAGAAGACAGGAGUCAUUACCUCCCCCUAAUAAGGUGGCACCUGGAGGCCACACUUGUGCUCCGAAACAAUUCUGCCUUCCAUGCAAGAAUCGAUGCACAUUUUAUCUAUGACAAUGGCAGUCACUGCACCCCCCAGCUACCCAGGCUUUCCAGAGAGUGGAAGGUGGGGAAAAGGAGUCCUUCUGUCAGGAGCCAAAGCAAGAAGAAUCUGAGUAAGGACACAGAGCACAUUAUUAUCAUUACAAAAGCCAGCCCAUAAUGUUUUCACUGAAAUACUCUCACUGAAUGAUUCAACAGGAGGCAAAGAGGGAUAUCUUCGGAGAAGGCACUUAAGGUAGAACACUAGCAAAUCCUACUGCUUCCAAAAAAAUGGGCUCAUUCAAUCUGACAAGAGGCCUGGUCCCAACUGCUCCUCGCUGUGUUGACUGUGCAUGUGGGCAAGGCCUGACUAACAACCAGGGUGUUGAGAAAGCAUCACCCUGGCCAAGGGCUGCAGGUGUUGCAAAGAUGGGGUGGCUCUGCUUUCAAAUGCUGUCCCCUUACACAUUCAUCCUUCCCAGACCAGUUUCCCCAAGUGAUAGCUCACAAAGUAUGUGCAGGCCUGUCAGAAUUGGCUCAGAAGCUUCUGGAAGGCCCUCUAUCUAUUUCUCAUCUGACACGCAGCUUCGACCAGUUACUGCGAGCAGCUUCAGCUUCACACAGUCGCAGCUGCCUCUGCUUGCAUUCACUAGAGCUGUUUCCAUGGCACUGGCUGUGAGUGCCCGUCAGACCCCUGGCCCCCAUGAGCUUCACCUCCACCGCACACCUUCUUCAUGAGGCUUGUGUCAUUGAUGGAGGGCAAAGGAGGGGGCUACAGCAGGCCUAGGCUUAUGUCUGAAGAGGGCCUAGCCACCUCUGCCGUGUAAAAGGCUUCACUCUCACCCGGCAGGUGAUGCAGAGACCACAUGGAGGAGAGACCCUGAGGACUCCAGCCAUCCCAGUGUCUCAGCCCACCUACCAGCCACAUGAGUGACCAUGUGCCAAGAGAGAAGAGCAGCUCCACUGAGCCCAGCUUGGGCCAAUGAAUGGGGGCAGGGGGGUCAGCAACACUGGAAAAACAAGACCCUGCUCAUCAAGAUGCCUGUUUUCCAAACCCAAGACAAUUACUCAAAUGCAAAGAAAACAUGGCACCCGUUUCCCAUCACAACUCUCUCUCAACAGCUGAGGGGUAGUUGGUCAUCUGCUAAGAAAACAUACCUGUUAUCCUGCUUCAUCCAUCUCCAUGAUUUAUUCCCCAUGACUUUUUAAUGCCAGAAUGGCAAUACAAAGGCAGACAGUCAUGAUACACUGGCCUCAUGACCAUUUAGCCAAAAACAAAAAAGGAAGCCACCAAAGUGAAUUGUCUACUGCUAAGUGCUGUGGUUAAAUGUGUCCCCAAAGUACACGCAUUUGAGACGAAACCCCCAAUGCCACAGUGCGGAGAAGUGGGGGCUGUCAGGGGAGAUUAGGUGGAGGAUUCAGCCACAACAAUGGGUCAACAUUGUCUCGGGGGUGGCUAUAAAGCGAGCCCUCAAGCUCUCUUCUCUCCAUGACGCUUUCAGCCAAGUUAUAAUGCAGCUAGAGGCCCUCAUGAGACAUGGCCUCUUGACCUUGGGCCUUCUAGCCUCUAGAACUAUCAGAAAUAAAUCUGUUCAUUAUAAAUUAUGCACUCUAUGCUAUUCUGUUAGGCAAUACAAAACAGAUUAAGACAAUAAGCGAUGGAAAAUAAAAUCAUUCUCACUUCUCAAGGAUGUUGUUACUUAAUUUUUCUAAAUCAUUUCUUUUUUCAAGUGCCUCUAUCAUCCCGACAAAAAGAAAAAACUUAAAAUGGCUAAGGUUAUUAAAAGAAAAAAGAAAUUUCUCAUAACUAGAAUUUGAAUCCCCAUAAUCUGUAAAAUACAGAGCACAGUUUAACUGCUUCAAUUUAAAACAAAAUUCUAUAAAAUGUAACAUUUUCUACAUUGUAGAGAUGAUUUCUUCUUAUCUGAGGAAAUGCUGAAUUAGAAUACAAUGGUCUUUAAAUGGUUUCAAAUUUUGCUUAUCAAAAAGUAGUCAGCCACAAUGUUCCAAAUCCAAAUUCAUUCUUCUCAUAAGGUCUCUUGCACAUCUGUUCUUCAUCUUUUUUGGAGGAAAGGUGAAAGUCCACA